rnacentral:rRNA from 1 species
GACGUAGGGCGCGAGCGUUGUCCGGAUUUAUUGGGCGUAAAGAGCUCGUAGGCGGCUUGUCGCGUCGACUGUGAAAACUUGGGGCUCAACUCCAAGCUUGCAGUCGAUACGGGCAGGCUAGAGUUCGGUAGGGGAGACUGGAAUUCCUGGUGUAGCGGUGAAAUGCUUAGAUAUCGUCAAGAACACCUAUAGCGAAGGCAGCUUACUAGGCUGUAACUGACGCUGAGGCACGAAAGUGUGGGGAUCAAACAGG